rnacentral:rRNA from 1 species
CGACUAAUGUUGAAAAAUUAGCGGAUGACUUGUGGCUGGGGGUGAAAGGCCAAUCAAACCGGGAGAUAGCUGGUUCUCCCCGAAAGCUAUUUAGGUAGCGCCUCGUGAACUCAUCUUCGGGGGUAGAGCACUGUUUCGGCUAGGGGGUCAUCCCGACUUACCAACCGAUGCAACUACGAAUACCGAAGAAUGUUAUCACGGGAGACACACGGCGGGUGCUAACGUCCGUCGUGAAGAGGGAAACAACCCAGACCGCCAGCUAAGGUCC